rnacentral:rRNA from 1 species
UACGUAGGGUGCGAGCGUUGUCCGGAAUUACUGGGCGUAAAGAGCUCGUAGGUGGUUUGUCGCGUUGUUCGUGAAAUUCCCUGGCUUAACUGGGGGCGUGCGGGCGAUACGGGCAGACUGGAGUACUGCAGGGGAGACUGGAAUUCCUGGUGUAGCGGUGGAAUGCGCAGAUAUCAGGAGGAACACCGGUGGCGAAGGCGGGUUUCUGGGCAGUAACUGACGCUGAGGAGCGAAAGCGUGGGGAGCGAACAGG